UACGAAGGGGGCUAGCGUUGCUCGGAAUUACUGGGCGUAAAGCGCACGUAGGCGGGUCUUUAAGUCAAGGGUGAAAUCCUGGAGCUCAACUCCAGAACUGCCUUUGAUACUGAAGAUCUUGAGUUCGGGAGAGGUGAGUGGAACUGCGAGUGUAGAGGUGAAAUUCGUAGAUAUUCGCAAGAACCCCAGUGGCGAAGGCGGCUCACUGGCCCGAUACUGACGCUGAGGCACGAAAGCGUGGGGAGCAAACAGG
rnacentral:rRNA from 1 species